UAGGGAAUAUUGGACAAUGGGGGCAACCCUGAUCCAGCCAUGCCGCGUGAGUGAAGAAGGCCCUCGGGUUGUCAAGCUCUUUUGUCCGGAAAGAAAAGCAUUCGGUGAAUACCCGGAUGUUCUGACGGUACCGGAAGAAUAAGCACCGGCUAACUUCGUGCCAGCAGCCGCGGUAAUACGAAGGGUGCAAGCGUUACUCGGAAUUACUGGGCGUAAAGCGUGCGUAGGUGGUUGUUUAAGUCUGAUGUGAAAGCCCUGGGCUCAACCUGGGAAUGGCAGUGGNAACUGGGCAGCGAGAUUGCGGUAGAGCGUAGUGGAAUUCCCGGUCUAUCAGUGAAAUGCGUAGAGAUCGGGAGGAACAUCUGUGGCGAAGGCGACUGCCUGGACCAGCACUGACACUG
rnacentral:rRNA from 1 species